AUGGAGCCUCUGGGGGCUGCCAUUAGGGCAGACACAGGGGUGGAAGGCUUGUUGAUCCCUGGAAGUGGUGGGCUGCGUGUUAAGAUGACGCAGUACUACGACGACACUUCCUUGCUGUUGUGCAAGGACUCGUGCCUGACAAGGUCCCUUGCCAUCUUUGGGGAUUUCACCCGAGCGUCGGGAGCAGUUCUGAACCAUGCAAAGUCUUCCGUCAAGUUUUUCGGAAGAUGGCGCGGUAGAACGGAUGUGCCUGGGGGGUUAUCUCUCUGUAAAGGGGCCCUGAGGAUUCUCGGGGUUCAUUUUGAGACCUCCGGCUCAGCGACGCUAAACUGGAACAUGCGUAUCGCAGUGGUACAGAGGAAGCUAGCAAUGUGGAAGGCUAGGUAUUUGUCUUUUAUGGGCAAAGUCCUGGUCCUAAAGGUGGAUGUGUUGCCGUCUCUUUUGUAUUUGGCAUAUAUCUACCCAUUGCCGGCUUGUCUGAGGAGGCCUCUAGUGAGGCUUGUGUUUCAGUUUAUGUGGAGUGGCAGGUGCGAGUGGGUCGCCAGGGCACGCAUGAUCUGUCCCAUCGGGGAGGGAGGUAGGGGGGUACCACAUUUCCCCCUCAAGCGGGACUCAAUUUUUGUUUCUUUCUUGUUAGCGGAGCUUGCUCAGCCAGUGAUACACCCGUCCGGUUACCUCCUGCGGGUGUUCUUCUCGUAUAAGGCGAGAAGCGUAAUGGUGUGGUCUAACGCGGGUCCUCGGGCGGAACAGCUGCCGUGGCACUUUGGUCAUGCGGCCAAGUGGCUGCGUGCGCACCCCGAGGUUGAAGUUGCCCGAGUAGGUUUAGACCACAGGCACCUGUACGAGGAGGUCAGGCAGGCAGGGAGUCCUGCGCCCAUAGCGGGCAUCUCGUCAGUGGUCUGGGAGGGAGUGCAGGCGCGGGGCCUGGACAACGGGCUCAAGGACCUGAAUUGUUUGAGCCUUCAUAAGCGUUUACCGGUACUUUCCAUCUUGUACCGGUAUAGUUUGGUGCGAUCCCCCACCUGUCCAAGAUCUGCUUGUGGCAGGGAGGAGACUGUGCGCCAUGCCUUCUGGGACUGUGCCUUUGCCGGACUAGUAUGGGCUAGGGCACAGGUGAUGCUAGGUGUGGUUAGGAGUGAUUUUGUUUUGACAUAG
rnacentral:lncRNA from 1 species